UUACUGCUAUCGAGGUUCGACUAAGCCAUGCGAGUCGAAUGUAGCAAUACAUGGCGAACUGCUCAGUAACACGUGGACAACCUGCCCUUAGGACGGGAUAAACCCGGGAAACUGGGUAUAAUACCCGAUAGGUCUCGAUUGCUGGAAUGCAUCGAGAUUUAAAGCUCCGGCGCCUAAGGAUGGGUCUGCGGCCUAUCAGGUAGUAGUGGGUGUAGCGUACCUACUAGCCUACGACGGGUACGGGUUGUGAGAGCAAGAGCCCGGAGAUGGAUUCUGAGACACGAAUCCAGGCCCUACGGGGUGCAGCAGGCGCGAAAACUUUACAAUGCUGGCAACAGCGAUAAGGGAACCUCGAGUGCCAGGUUACAAAUCUGGCUGUCGAGAUGCCUAAAAAGCAUUUCAUAGCAAGGGCCGGGCAAGACCGGUGCCAGCCGCCGCGGUAACACCGGCGGCUCGAGUGGUAACCGUUAUUAUUGGGUCUAAAGGGUCUGUAGCCGGCCGGAUAAGUCUCUUGAGAAAUCUGGCAGCUUAACUGUCAGGCUUUCAGGAGAUACUGUCUGGCUCGAGGCCGGGAGAGGUGAGAGGUACUUCAGGGGUAGGGGUGAAAUCUUGUAAUCCUUGAAGGACCACCAGUGGCGAAGGCGUCUCACCAGAACGGACCUGACGGCAAGGGACGAAAGCUAGGGGCACGAACCGGAUUAGAUACCCGGGUAGUCCUAGCCGUAAACGAUACUCGCUAGGUGUCGGCCACGGUGCGACCGUUGUCGGUGCCGUAGGGAAGCCGUGAAGCGAGCCACCUGGGAAGUACGGCCGCAAGGCUGAAACUUAAAGGAAUUGGCGGGGGAGCACCACAACGGGUGGAGCUUGCGGUUUAAUUGGAUUCAACGCCGGGAAGGGC
rnacentral:rRNA from 1 species